AUGGCCGCGGAGAACUACUGGAGGUACGCCGACGCGCGGCAGCAGCAGGCCAUGGUGGCGGCUGCGGCGGCCGCGGCGGGGAUGGCCCCUGCAGCUACCGUUGCGCAGGCCGCGACGGCCGCGGGGGGCAUGCAGCAGCACCAGCACCAGCACCAGCACCAGCAGGCGGCGAUGGCGCAACAGCAGCAGCAGCAGCAACAGCAGCAGCAGGCGGCCGCGCCGUCGCUUAAGCGCGCGCGCCCAGACUAUGGCGAUGGUCCUGGAGGACAAGAGAUGGCUGGAUAUUAUCCGCGGGAAAAUGCAGGUUACCACUCACUUAGAGACAAUGAAGCAAUUGGAGCAUCUUACGACCGCUACUUACGCAAUGGGAUGCCUUCUGUGGCAGCCAAUGAACCAAGUAGGGCAGUUGUUGGUGCCAUGGGUGGAGCUGCAAUGGUUGGUGGUGGAAUGAGUGGAUAUCCUGUUGAUGACCACCGUAUGAUGGGUGUCGUUGGUAUGGACAGCAGAGCCAUGGGGUAUGGUGCAAGACCUGAGCCUCCUCUUCCCCCGGAUGCAUCCAACACCUUGUAUAUUGAAGGUCUGCCUGCAAACUGCACCCGUAGGGAGGUUUCACAUAUAUUCCGCCCUUUUGUUGGUUUCCGUGAAGUGAGGCUUGUCAACAAAGAGUCAAGACACCCUGGUGGAGAUCCUCAUGUCCUGUGUUUCGUUGAUUUUGAUAGCCCUGCCCAAGCUACUAUUGCACUUGAAGCCCUGCAAGGUUAUAAGUUUGACGAACACGAUCGUGAAUCAGCCCAUUUAAGGCUGCAAUUCUCGCGCUUUCCUGGUCCGAGGUCAGCUGGCGGGCCUCGUGGUAGGCGUUAA
rnacentral:rRNA from 1 species